rnacentral:lncRNA from 1 species
CCGCGCCGCCCGCGACAGAGGCGGCUGCUGACCGCCGCUGUCGCGCCGCGGGCCGGCACACCACGUACGGACGCCCUCCGUAUGGUGCCGCGCCCGGGACGUACGCGCACUGCGCGCAGUAUGUCUGUAUUUAGAGCGCGCUCGGCGGCAGUCGGCGCCGGCGCCGGCCGGGCCCGUGUCCCCGCGGCGGAGUCGCGCCACGAGCCGCCGCCCCGCCAGGCCGCCGCGGCCGCCGGUGGCUGACCUGACCUGACCGCCGCCCCCGCGCGCACCCAGACCGACCGAGUGCCGGCGGUGCUGCCGUCCGCUCCCGCGUGUCCCCCACGACCGUCCGCCACAGUCGCGGCCACCUCAGCCGAGCCAGCGCGCCAGUCGCGUCUGACCUCGGCCCCUGCCCCGCUCGGCAAUCGUGUUCAAUACUCACAGGCAUACAUAGCUGGGCACCCGCCCAGCCAGUGCAGAGCGACACUUCAGUUCAGUCAUUCCACAGUUCAUCAUGGUUCAGUCAUUCAGUUCAACAUUUUGUGCCAUCAUCUGUGUGCAAUACGCAUCAUGCUGUGAUUUAUACAUUCCACAAAAGGUAUAAUUUCAAGUGCCACAGAUGGCUUUAUGCGGCCGUGACUUCUGAAGAUGUUUUUCUGGUGACGUGUAAGCAGAGAGGUGAGAGAGGAUGACAAGGCACGAAUAUUUGUCAAGUGCCGUGGACGAGAAUGGAAGCGAAUGAUUGUCCGUAAGAAAGAGCUGUCUUGCUUGUUAGGAGUCGUUGUUCUUGUUCUGUGCUGAGUAGCUGUGAGUAAUUUUACGAGGUGCCAUUUUGCAUUUGACGCCCAGAUGAAGGCUUCACAGCGGUGUACAAUUUUGGUACAAGCUUUAUAUGUUACUGUAAAUGGCUAGCCUACUGACAAUAACGCCAACCACAUAGACGUAAUUCAACCAACACACUAACUGUAGGCGUAGGCUAGCUUCCGGUAAACAUUAUUCCCUGACUGAGUAGAACUGUCUCCUAUUUUUGUUUGAUAACAAGUGCGCCGUGCGUUCUGGCCUCCGCUGGCUCUGCUUACCAGACGUACCGUCAGACGUAUCGUCCGGUCCUUCCUCAACUGCAUAUGCCUGCCAAUCCUCAGCUGCCCGUCCUCCCGGUCUUUUGCUGCCCGUCCAUCCACAGCUAUGGUUCAGGUCUGCUGAAGUUAAAAUGUGCUGCCAGUCAAUAUACAGAGCUGUUCAAUAUUCAUCCCUCCAAACCACAGCUCCGUGGAGUCAAACGGCGAUCAACAUCCCAAACCAGUGUCCUUCAUUGACUGCAGUCCAUCGGGCCAGUCGUGGAGAUCAAUUACAUCGUCUACUAAGCUAGCAAUGAACCUAAUUCCACCAUCCACCAGCCACGCCAGCAGUGCAGACCACCGUCCAUCAGUCCAGAAGCUGAAUUUUGUCAUCCACCAGACCAGCAGUGCGGAUGAAUUCCACCAUCCACCAGCCAGGCUAGCGGUGCAGACCACCGUCCAUCAGUUCAGAAGCUGAAUUUUGUCAUCCACCAGACCAGCAGUUUGGCUGAAUUCCAUCAUCCAUCUUGUCAGCUGUGAAGCUUUUUCCAUCCUGCCCCAAACCAGCAAUGCAGACAGCUUCCAUCACCUACCAGUUCAGCAAUGUGGCCCAAUUUUACCAUCGAUCGGGUGCAGCGCAGGUCAAUACCAGCAACCACUGCAACCUAAAAGUGCAGCCUCCUUACAGCAUCCACCAGGCCGGCCAGCAGUGCAGCUUUUUCUGGUCACCGAACAGGCAGAAUCAUUUCAAACAUCCAAAAAUCCAUCAAACAGCCCUUUUCUGCCCGUCACCAGAUCAGCAAAGCAGACCAACCCCUCAAUCCAUCAGCCCGGCAUUGCACCCCACUCCACCAUACAUCAAACCAGCAGCGCAGCCAGUUUCCAACCUGCCCCGGACCAGCGGCCAGCCCUGUCGCGCCAGACGAGCUCGGUGCAGACAGCGCCGGCCGCUCAGCCGCUGUCCCGGCGCCGUCUCGCUCGCAGCGCCCGUUUUCCCAUGUGCCGCGACCAUCGUGUCCGCCUGUGAGCGCCGCCGAGCCCUAUCUUAUCCGAGGAAAGUCCGGCAAUCGGUGUGUGGCCGCGCGGAAAACGGGCCGCUUGUGACACGUGGCGGCCCUGUCCGGCUCUCCUGCUGUUCCACCCGGCUGACGGUACCUGGCCAGACCCCCGCACCGCACCACACCGCACCGCUCAGCGCAGAAACGCGCGCACAUCGGUCCAGGCUGGCCAACAAACUCCGCGCACUGUAAAUUGGUAGACGUCUAAAUCUAUCCAACCGAGUGAUCUUCCAACUCCAAAGCCAAAGGAUAAGAGUGCCUCCGUUUAGCGGCCCUCACGUCGCAGAGGUGACCGGCGCGCUCGUGCGCGUCGGGAGUUAGCCAGGCGCUCAGGUCGCAACAGGCAGGACGACCACUACGCCAAUCGUAAUGGAUCUCAGGGUAACAAGUACAUACAUACAAACGCCAGCCAUGUCCAGUUCGGA